UUAAUCAUUUUCCGGUUUACCAGAGCCCUCUCUGCUCUCUUUCUUAGUAAUCUCUCCCUUCUCAGUUGCCUCAUUAGAUCCUCCACGUGAGCCUGGUCACAACUGGCCCUUGGCAGUCUGGUCCCUGGAGCACCUGACCCUGGCAAACUGGCCUCUUCAUAGCUGACCCCUGACUGACUGGCUCCUGGCACACUGAUCUCUGGGAAGCCAUACAUCUGGAACCCCUUCUCGGAUCGAUUAGAGCAUCCAAAUGCUGCACAUCCAACCAUGGGCCCAGGAAACAGAUGAAGAGGAUGUCCCUUUCACAAAGGAACCUUUUUGUUUUUUUCAAAAUGGUUAGGCUCCUGGAUGCCCGAGAGCUCUGUAUUGCUUUUUUGUAAAUAGUAUUGCUUUUUUGUAAAUAGUUGCUUUUUUGUAAAUAGUUGUUUGUAAAUAUUUGUAAAAUCCAUGGUUCAACAGGAGCUUCUGUAAAUAGUUUUGUAAAUAGUUUGAAUAUGUAUCAUAGUAAUCAUUUUCAGUCUCCCACUCUGUCUCAAUUUUAUUUAUCGUUGCCCCACCAUAUGUUUUGUUGUCCAAGGGCACUCAUUUGGUCUGUGUUGAAGAUUGUUUUACACUUUAGAUUAAUCUAAUUGUGUUUUUUGGCUGAAUUAAUCUUUUUCUGUUUAACCCUAACCCUCUUUGUUCUCCUUCUCAUUCAUUUGACUUU